rnacentral:rRNA from 1 species
GGGUACUCGAGUGGCGAACGGGUGAGUAACACGUGGGUGAUCUGCCCUGCACUCUGGGAUAAGCCUGGGAAACUGGGUCUAAUACCGGAUAUGACCAACUGUCGCAUGGUGGUUGGUGGAAAGCUUUUGCGGUGUGGGAUGGGCCCGCGGCCUAUCAGCUUGUUGGUGGGGUAAUGGCCUACCAAGGCGACGACGGGUAGCCGACCUGAGAGGGUGAUCGGCCACACUGGGACUGAGACACGGCCCAGACUCCUACGGGAGGCAGCAGUGGGGAAUAUUGCACAAUGGGCGCAAGCCUGAUGCAGCGACGCCGCGUGAGGGAUGACGGCCUUCGGGUUGUAAACCUCUUUCACCAGGGACGAAGCGUGAGUGACGGUACCUGGAGAAGAAGCACCGGCCAACUACGUGCCAGCAGCCGCGGUAAUACGUAGGGUGCGAGCGUUGUCCGGAAUUACUGGGCGUAAAGAGCUCGUAGGCGGUUUGUCGCGUCGUCUGUGAAAUUCUGCAACUCAAUUGUAGGCGUGCAGGCGAUACGGGCAGACUUGAGUACUACAGGGGAGACUGGAAUUCCUGGUGUAGCGGUGAAAUGCGCAGAUAUCAGGAGGAACACCGGUGGCGAAGGCGGGUCUCUGGGUAGUAACUGACGCUGAGGAGCGAAAGCGUGGGUAGCGAACAGGAUUAGAUACCCUGGUAGUCCACG